rnacentral:rRNA from 1 species
AUGGGGUCGAGGACCAAGGGGUGCUGCGGCUGGCUGAUCGUGGCGCUGGUGCUGGCGCUCGUCGCCACGGCGGCCGUGGUGGCCAUCAUGAAGCGCAAGCCCGGGGGAGGCGGAGGGGGCCGGAGCCGCCCGCCCAAGCCGCUCCCCGUCCCGGGCCCGCCCGGGGACAUCGACUCCAAGUACGGCGACGCGCUCGGGGUCGCGCUCCAGUUCUUCCAGGUCCAGAAGGCGGGGAAGUUGGUUGACAACCAGAUCCCGUGGCGGGGGGACUCUGCGCUCAACGAUGGGAAAGAAGCCAAGCUGGAUCUCUCCAAGGGGCUGUACGACGCCGGGGAUCAUAUGAAGUUCACCUUCCCCAUGGCGUUCACGGCGACCGUGCUCGCGUGGUCCGUGCUCGAGUACGGGGAUCAGAUGACCGCCGCUAAGCAGCUAGACCCCGCGCUUGACGCGCUCCGGUGGGUCACCGAUUUCCUCAUCGCGGCACAUCCUACCGACAACGUGUUCUACAUUCAGGUUGGUGAUCCUGAUCUAGAUCACGACUGCUGGCAAAGGCCAGAAACGAUGACUGAGAAAAGGCCGCUCACACAGAUUAACCCAAAGAACCCUGGGUCAGAUAUCGCCGCUGAGGCAGCUGCAGCCAUGGCCGCAGCAUCAAUGGUUUUCAAAUCCAGUGACACUACAUAUUCUGAUUCACUUCUUCAACAUGCCCAGAAGUUAUUUACUUUUGCUGAUACUUAUAAAGGCAUCGCCAGCGACACCUAUCCAAAGCUUCAGAAGUACUAUAAUUCUACUGGCUAUGUUGAUGAGCUCCUCUGGGCAGCGAGUUGGCUCUAUCAUGCUACAGGAGAUCAGACAUAUCUCAGUUAUGUGACUGUGCAGAACGGGAAAGAUUAUGCUGAUUGGGGAAGGCCAACAUGGUUCAGCUGGGAUGACAAGCUCCCAGGGACACAGAUCCUUUUGUCAAGAGUAAAUUUCUUUGGAUCCAAAGAGAUAUCUAAUGCUGAAAACAGUGGACUCAAAAUGUACAGAGACACUGCUGAGGCUGUCAUUUGCGGGCUUCUACCAGAUUCUCCGUCAGCCACUGGUAGUAGGACUAGCGGAGGGCUGGUGUGGAUAAGUGGGUGGAAUUCUCUGCAGCAUGGCAUAAAUGCAGCAUUCCUUGCUGUUGUUUACAGCGACUACAUGUUGACAUCACAAACAGCUGCAGUGGAGUGCAGUGGAAAAUAUUUUAGUCCGACAGAUAUUCGCAAUUUCGCUAUAUCACAGGCAAAUUACGUGCUGGGUGACAACCCAAUGAAGCUUAGCUACCUGGUGGGAUAUGGGAGCAGCUAUCCGCAGCAGGUGCACCACAGGGGGGCAUCCAUCCCCGCGGAUGCGAAAACAGGCUGCAAGGGAUUCGAGUACCUCCAUUCGUCCAGUCCGAACCCGAAUGUUGCCACGGGAGCCGUUGUGGGCGGGCCAUUCCAGAAUGACUCUUUCGUGGACUUGCGCGACAAUGCGGUGCAGACAGAGUCCAGCACUUACAACAGCGGCACCUUCGUCGGUCUGCUCGCGGGCCUGGUCACCACCUCGUCCAUCGCAAAGACAUUCACCUAG